UACGGAGGGAGCUAGCGUUGUUCGGAAUUACUGGGCGUAAAGCGCACGUAGGCGGCUUUUUAAGUCAGGGGUGAAAUCCCGGGGCUCAACCCCGGAACUGCCUUUGAUACUGGAGAGCUUGAGUCCGGGAGAGGUGAGUGGAACUGCGAGUGUAGAGGUGAAAUUCGUAGAUAUUCGCAAGAACACCAGUGGCGAAGGCGGCUCACUGGCCCGGUACUGACGCUGAGGUGCGAAAGCGUGGGGAGCAAACAGG
rnacentral:rRNA from 1 species